UACAGAGGGUGCGAGCGUUAAUCGGAAUUACUGGGCGUAAAGCGCACGUAGGCGGCUUGGUAUGUCGGGUGUGAAAUCCCCGGGCUCAACCUGGGAACUGCAUCCGAAACUGCCCUUGCUAGAGUAUGGGAGAGGGAAGUGGAAUUUCCGGUGUAGCGGUGAAAUGCGUAGAUAUCGGGAGGAACACCUGUGGCGAAGGCGGCCCCCUGGUGGAUACUGACGCUGAGACGCGAAAGCGUGGGGAGC
rnacentral:rRNA from 1 species